rnacentral:tRNA from 2 species
CGGGGCAUAGCGCAGUCUGGUAGCGCAUCUGGUUUGGGACCAGAGGGUCGUAAGUUCGAAUCUUACUGUCCCGACCA